GAUAAACGCUAGCGGCAGGCUUAACACAUGCAAGUCGAGGGGCAGCAUAGAUUGUAGCAAUACAAUUGUUGGCGACCGGCGCACGGGCGCGUAACGCGUAUGCAACCUACCCGUCACAGGGGGAUAAUCCGGAGAAAUCUGGUCUAUUACCCCAUAACAUAUGAUCGGCAUCGGCUCAUGUUGAAAUUUUCGGAGGUGACGUAUGGGCAUGCGUAGCAUUAGCUUGUUGGUGAGGUAACGGCCCACCAAGGCGACGAUGCGUAGGGGGACUGUGAGGUUUUCCCCCCACACUGGUAAUGAGACACGGACCAGACUCCUACGGGAGGCAGCAGUGAGGAAUAUAGGUCAAUGGGCGCAAGCCUGAACCAGCCAUGCCGCGUGCAGGAUGACGGCUCUAUGAGUUGUAAACUGCUUUUGUACGAGGGUAAAGUGGGUUACGUGUAACCUUUUGAAAGUAUCGUACGAAUAAGGAUCGGCUAACUCCGUGCCAGCCGCCGCAGUAA
rnacentral:rRNA from 1 species